rnacentral:rRNA from 1 species
AGAGUUUGAUCCUGGCUCAGAUUGAACGCUGGCGGCAGGCCUAACACAUGCAAGUCGAGCGGAAACGACACUAACAAUCCUUCGGGUGCGUUAAUGGGCGUCGAGCGGCGGACGGGUGAGUAAUGCCUAGGAAAUUGCCUUGAUGUGGGGGAUAACCAUUGGAAACGAUGGCUAAUACCGCAUGAUGCCUACGGGCCAAAGAGGGGGACCUUCGGGCCUCUCGCGUCAAGAUAUGCCUAGGUGGGAUUAGCUAGUUGGUGAGGUAAUGGCUCACCAAGGCGACGAUCCCUAGCUGGUCUGAGAGGAUGAUCAGCCACACUGGAACUGAGACACGGUCCAGACUCCUACGGGAGGCAGCAGUGGGGAAUAUUGCACAAUGGGCGAAAGCCUGAUGCAGCCAUGCCGCGUGUAUGAAGAAGGCCUUCGGGUUGUAAAGUACUUUCAGUUGUGAGGAAGGGUGUGUAGUUAAUAGCUGCGCAUCUUGACGUUAGCAACAGAAGAAGCACCGGCUAACUCCGUGCCAGCAGCCGCGGUAAUAC